AAUUUUAUAAAUUUGAUGCAUUGCCCGUGCCCUAGCUCCCCCCACGGCGCCGAGCUCCCUCUUCCCCCGAGCCUCACCUCGCAACGCGCCUCCUCUCCUUCGUCCCCGAGCCCUUACCCUCACCGGCCUCUCCUCCUUCCUCGCACUAGCAUCGCCGACCCUCCUCUCCCAUCUCCCGGUCUCGCCGCAGUGCCACACAUCGCCGCGGCACGAUGUCGAGCCACCGACCCUGAUCGCGGGAGUGUCGGCCAUUGUCAUCUCUACUUCGAUUCCCUUCGACCCCGGGCACCCAUGCCCUAGCCAUUCCUCGUCGGUUAAUUUCUUUUCUUCCUCCCGUUUCCACCAAUCGCCCAGCCCUAAGAAGUCGAGGGUUACGCCCUAGCUUCCAUGUCGACGCCCCGAUCGUCGACCAUCUGCACGAGACCGCCGGUAACACAGCAACCAGCUCUGGUGUGGGAGGCGACGUUGUUAGCUUGAUGAUGUUGCCUCAUCUUUUGAUUGCGGCCCUCCCAGUGUCGAUUUGGAUUUUCGAUAGAGACGGAGCCACAAAUCUGAAUUAAGCCAUCUUCACAUGCUGAUCCAGGCUCCUUGCUAAUUGACCACAUUGAUGAGAAGGUCUGCCAACAAUCUAGGGUUUGGAACUAAGACCAAGGCCACUAAUCUCCCGCGUCAAACUUUCCGAUUUCAGGACACUGCUACGAGCCAAGUGUUCCGAAGUGGAGAUAGCCUAGCACGAUCGACAAGCAAAGGCGGGUACUUCUUGUUUUGUUUUUUUUAGUACUUUGACCUUGGUGCAUGAACUAUUUUAGAUAAGAAAUUAUUUUUACCUUAA